GUUGGUCUCUGUUCUAGUCGUUCUGCCUUUGCUGCUGAUAGUUUUGAUGAUCAUCUAUAAAAAAUACAAAGGUACAAACUGUUCUGGAUCAGACUCCAGACGUCCAGCCACAGAGCCUGAGCAGCCCAGAUCUAUUUAUUCUGCAGUCAGCGUCAACAUGAACACACAAGA